UGUAUGUGAGGAGAACAUGCUUUUAAAGUAUAUUACAACACGUCCAUCAUUCAAAUAUCCACUAGUUCUCUGACCGCUGCACUGUUUCUAUUCAACUGGAUUCCAUCAGGUUGUAUCUGGGGGUUUCUGCCUUUUGGGCCUGAUAUAAUCUGGUUCUUGGUUCUUUUGGAUCAGCUUUAUUUGAUUGUUUUUGAGCUAUAUCUAUCCUCUUCACAUUAUAACUGUCUGGAUUAUCCAGGUCAAGUGUUCUUCUUGAGUUGGGAUCGGAACGAUGAUUCUUACACUGAUUCUGAUAGGUUCUUCUAUCUCGUAUCCAAGGACAGGUGCUGUGGGUACAUACAAGCUCAAAAAUCCGGUUCUGAUCGGUCCAUCCACUGCAAUGGAAUAUUCCUAUGUGACUUUUUUCUGUGCAGUUCCAGAGAUUCCGGAAGAGUUGGGUGUCUCAUACACACUUUAUCUUUAUCAAGCCAACCUCAAGAAAAACCUCGGGGAGUACUCCGCUCUCUCAGGACAAGAGGCAGUUUUUAAUUUUCCAGUCACUAUCGCACAGGACAGUGUACUCAUCUGUGAAGCCAGUGGACACAAUAACACAGAUAUCGAGAGCACACUCAGCAACAUUCUGAGACUUAAAGUCAUCAGUCCAGUGGAGAAAGUGUCAAUCAUUUCUCACCCGUCCACUGAUGAUUUGUGGGAGGGGCAGAAUUUGAUGCUCCACUGCAACAUAACAAAAGGCACUUACGUCUUGUAUGAUUGGCUACGGAACGGAAUGGAGAUUCAAAUGCCGUAUGACAGGACUGCAGACUCUCUGACAAUUCACAGACUGUCUGGGCAACAUACGGGCAACUAUACAUGUGUGGCAUCAAACCAGUACAAUAACACAAUGAUCUUUAGUGCCAUCAGUGACAUCAUACAUGUUCAUGUCAAAGAACAUUUGUCAAAGCCUGAAAUCUCACUUAAUAUUGUGAAGCUUGCGUUUGGUGAAUUUAAAGCAAUCAUCACAUGCCGAUCUGAGAAAGGAACUCCACCGAACACCUUCAGACUGUUAAACAACACUAAGAUCAUCGCCACUGAAACUACCCACAGAACGAGCGCUAUUUUCAGUGUGCCCAUUGAGCUGAACCAAAACAUGGGCUGGGUGAGAUGUAACGCCAGCAACGAGGGCAGCUUGCAGCUGAGUGAACCCAUCAGCCUGACUGUCGAGUCUGUAGGUGGCGCUGUAACGAUGAUACCCUUCAAACAAGUGGGACGGGACUUUCAAGUGUAUGGUCUGGUUCUGCGCUGCAGUGUCGAGCGAGGAACGUUUCCUCAUUACCGCUGGUUCCUCAACAAAACCAGACUGGAGGGCAGAGGAGGUUUCUACACUGUGGACUGGACAGAUGGCUCCGUUCUGUCAUUGUCUGUGGAGUCACGCAGCGCUGGAUUCUACCACUGUGAAGCUUCUGAUCAAUUUGACAACAGCACCAGAGUCAUCAGUCCAAAGAUGCUGAUCAACAAGGAGUUACUGAACAAAAUCUCUACUUUGGCCGUUGUUGUUGUUUUUACCAGUUUUUUCCUGCUGGUUAUUGCAGUGACAGUUUGCUGUAUUUAUGGAGUUGUGCUACGAAGAAGAUAUUCAAGGAAAUACCCAUGGCAGCAAGUACUAGAAAAAAUAAUUCUUCCUCUGUCACCCUCCAUCACAAUAUACAGAUCUGAAAUGUAGGUGGCGCUCUAACACAUCUCAGCCCUGACAGAUGUGCUCGUCACAUACUGAUUGAACAGCACAGAGAAAUGAAAAUAAAAGCUACACAUGAAGAUGAAGAGGAGAUGGUGGAAAGUUACGGUGAAGACACUGUCCACGCUGACAGAAUGAGUGAUUCUGCUGAGGAUGAAGAGGAGUCGAUUGAUGAAACCCUCCUGUAUGAAGGAACUACAACAAAAUAAUUCUACAGAAAUGCUUUCGUUUUCUGGGACACUGAAAAAAGCUGUUUGGUUUUU